rnacentral:lncRNA from 1 species
GAAGCCUGUGGCAGGCUAGGCCAAGCUCCACUUCACGAUCUGAAUCUGAGACAAGUGGGCUAAGCCCAUCAACCUGCUGACCAAGUAGAUCAGUACAGAGGAUCAGACCUGGUGGUAAAGAUGCAGAAACCCUAUGCCUUCCACGCCAGCUUCACAGUGGUGGAUAUGGAGGAACAGCUACAGGACAUCCACGCUACAUGGAGCUAGAACAGGGAAGAACUUGUACUUCUGAUGGGCAUGACAAACAUCACAACAAACUAAAGUGCCAAGAUGGAGGCCUCUGACAAAGGCCCAGAAUAAUCCUUUGAGGUGGAUCAACAUCUCUGUCAGCUUCCAUGUGCAGUCUUUGUAAUGGCUGUACCUAUUAGUCAACUUGACUGUAUCUGGAAUUAACUACAAUCUAGAAAUGGAGGGCAGACUUGUUAUCCAGAUCUUGAAACUGGAAGACACGGGCUUCUGACCUGGAUCUUGAUGUGGGGUUACACACAUCUUUAAUCCCUGGAAACAUAGGAAAGCAGAUCUCUGCGUUAGCAAGUUCCACAUCUAGUCGUGGUGGUACACACCAUUAAUCUAGGUAAUGCCUUCUGCUGGAUACCUACAUAAGAAUAAUUGAAGAAGGAAGGUUUUCUUCUUUGCCUGCUUGCCUUUAUUUGCCAGCAUAUCUGCUGGAACCUACUUCUUCAGGACUCCAGUUUAUACAGCCUAGCUGAAAAACAGCUGAAACACCUAGCCUCAUAGGACUGUGUAACUACACGUUUCUUGGACUUCCCAUUCACAGCUGCUCAUUGAUUAGUUGGACUACAGACCAUAAGUUAUUCCAAUAAUUUACCUAAAUAUAUACAUAUAUUCCAUAGGUCUUGUGCCUCUAGAGAACCCUGACUAAUACAGUGUUCAAGGGGAAGACAUACAACCAUCUGCAUGUCAUCUUCCAGGGCAUCAAUGGCAAGAUACAUGCUGGCAGCCUCAAACUCAUGGACUAUUGGGAGAACAUGCUGCAAUAGUUGCCUGCACACAUGGUCAGGGCCAGGCUAUGUGAGCCCCUUCCAGUAUGCUCUGUUGCAGAAGCAGUUCAAACUCAAGCAGGAGCAGGUUGUGAUGUUCUCAAUCCUUAAAUCUGAGCCUGAAGAACUGACCCCUAGACCUGGCCCUUCAAUGGACCCCAAGGCAUCUGAGGGGGAUUCUGGUAACAGGAGAGGUAGAAGCAGAAGCCAAGGCAGAAGGCAAAGAGGUGCUGAUUGAGGAGGACCUGAUCCAGCAGAGCUUGUCAGUCUAUGACACCAGGUAAUACAGCUGAUGGCUGGGCAAGGCACAGGAGGUGCUGCUGCAUGCAUACCUUCUGGAGCCUCAAUAGGCCCUUCUGACCCUACAGAUGUAGUGUCAGCAGCUCCACACCACAGACAACAUUAGCAAGAGUACCAAGGGCAAAGGUCAGGACUAAGAGCAGUUCAGACUGGAGAUGCCACCAGGCGGCCAUGUCUACCUGUACAAAUGCUAGCUGCACGCAAGCCUAGCUUCUUCGACUGUGUACACAUCUGUGUCAUGUGGAACAAGUAUAAGUAAAAGCACUAUGAUUUGAACAACCGCCUGUCUAAUAAUGUUCAGGCCUACAAGUUCAACAUCUUCUGAACUCAUCUGCAGUCACACCACGCUGGAGUAUUUCUUGGAGGCCUACCUGGUAAACCAGGACUUUUGCACCCUAGGCUUUGAUGCUGGUCUGCCCUAUGAGGACAUGGCCUUCAAGUUUGUUAGUUGCAAGUGAGAGUACUCAUACUGCUUUGCCAGUUUGCCAAUUGCAUCUUCCAGCUCUGAUUCCACUUCAAGUGCUACUGCUUCCUUAGGUGAUGUCCAUGCUGGGCUGGCCGAGGCCUAGACGGCUCCUGGGGAGGAGGCCCAAGGGUACCCAGACACAACCUCUGGCUCCAGUCACCAGCAAUGUGCCAGCCAAGACCCCUCUUGAUUCCUGCCAUCAGAAGAGGAUUGUAACUCUUUCUCUGAAAGGACUGCUUUGGGUGGUAGACAUAUCUUGUUUUCAUGGACUUGCUCAGCAGUAGAAACCCAUGUCAUUUAGAUGAAAUAAAUAGGUUAUUCUAAGUUAAAAAAGAAAAGAAGUUUGAAAUCUCUCAAGUGUGUUUUUAUAAUGUUAAAAUAAAGUACCUUUUUUAAAAACAAAAAAAAGAAAG